AUUGAACGCUGGCGGCAGGCUUAACACAUGCAAGUCGAACGAGUGGCGGACGGGUGAGUAAUGCAUGGGACUCUCCCUUAUGGAGGGGGAUAACUACGGGAAACUGUGGCUAAUACCGCUUACCAUAGGAUGAGCCCAAGUCGGAUUAGGUAGUGGGUGGGGUAAAGGCUCACCGAGCCGACGAUCUCUAGCUGGUCUGAGAGGAUGACCAGCCACACUGGGACUGAGACACGGCCCAGACUCCGACGGGAGGCAGCAGUGGGGAAUAUUGCGCAAUGGGGGCAACCUGACGCAGCCAUGCCGCGUGAAUGAAGAAGGCCUUCGGGUUGUAAAGCUCUUUCGGUAGAGAAGCGUUAACUACAGAAGAAGCACCGGCUAACUACGUGCCAGCAGCCGCGGUAAUAC
rnacentral:rRNA from 1 species